rfam:Salmo salar isolate Sally breed double haploid chromosome ssa15, whole genome shotgun sequence.
UGGCUCAGUUGGUAGAGCAUGGUGUUUGCAACGCCAGCGUUGUGGGUUCGAUUCCCAC